UUUCUUCUCGUCUUUCCUCCCUCUGUCAUUAGCCAGACAACACUGCAUCUCUGGCAGUACUGCUCCAAGCCCAGAACUGAACAGGCAGCUGAAAGCAACGCACCUUAACAGUGUAGGUUUGUCAGAUCUCCUACAGCAUGUCCACACCUCAUUUUAAAAGCACUCCAAGACGGUCAUCAACCUUCGGUCUGCUACAUUUAACCACGUGCCCAGCCAGGGCCUUCCCCCAGGCACACUGUGGGACCACUCUGUGUUGUCCCAAUAGCCGAGUGCAACACCUGGAUAAACUGCACGGCCUAAUGAAAAUAUUCUGGUCUUAAGAUGGAAGAAAAGGGAGUCUGGCAGAUUUCUAACUGCAUCUGAGAUGCUUCUUUUGGAGCAGAAUCAUCACCCCAGGGUGUUCUGGAAGAAGAGGCAAAUGAUGAUUCUCAAGAUACUGAGAACAUUGAAAUGACACAGUUUCAACAGCCUGUCAGAUAAGUCAUGGGGACACAGAGGUAUUAGGAAAUAGGAGUCAUCUCUCUGCCCACAAAGCUGCAAAGGCUGGCUUCUCCAGAGAAAAGAGCAAGAAAAAUGAAUGGACAUUAUAUGAGACAAAGAGAGAGGAAGCCUCCAAGAAAAAGAAGCAGCUGAAAGAAUGACAGCAAGUAUCAACUCACUGCCACAGACAAUGGGGUCUGCAGAAUGUGUACUGAUCAGGAUAUGCUCUGAAAGAACUGGAAAGAAAAAGGUCCAAUUGCAGAAACAGGAAAGGAAUC